rnacentral:lncRNA from 1 species
GAGAGGGUUGAUGUGAGAUUUGUGUGUGUGUGUAUGUGUGUGUGUGUGUGUGUGUGUGAAGGUGUAACUGGGAAUUGGGAUAUCAUUUGAGAUAUGAAUGAAUGCAGUGAGUAAUUAAAAAGAAAAAGAAAAAUAGAAGAAUAGAUUUGUUUAAUACUAGCCUAAGGCAUAAAUCAAUGAAGGAGUAUUCUAACCUUUUUUUUUUUUUUCAUUUCAGAGCAUUUUAAACUAAUGUUUUAACUGUUAGUACAUAUUAUGAAAAGUUUAGUGAUUUGGGGGGAAUUACUGAAUGUGCAAAAAAGUGGGGCUCUGCUUCCUUUGCAAAAUUUCCAAAACCUUUUUUAAUUGUUUGUUCAUUUUUGUCCAAUUCUGAAGUGUUCAUUUUUGUUUAUCUUAUUUUAUUAUUAUCCCUUAGAAGCCUUUAUGUUUUAUAGUGAGAGACAAAACUGGGGUAGGUCCAGAUGGGAAGAAAGCUGUGGAGGAACUGGAAGUAGAUGAAGAGAAAAUCACAAUCAGAAUAUAUUAUGUGAGGAAAAUAUAUUUUCAAUAAAAGGGAAAAAAAGAAAAGAAAUCAGUUAUGAAAGUUUUGCUAUUUUCUGAAAGGAACAAAGGAAUGUAAACCUGGUCAGAUAAAUGGUAAUAGACUUUAAGUAUGCUUGAGUCUUUUAUUUGAACUAUCCAGUUUUGAACUUCUGGGCCUAACCUCUCAGAUUCUAAACUGUCUUUAGUCUUCUCAUAUUAAAAAUGAAGAUAAACACAGUUAUUUCAAUGAUAUAAAAGACUGUCCUCUCAAAUAUGUGGAAUUAGUUUUGUGUAAAAACAAAAGCAAAAAAAUUAUUUCAAUCUUAACAAUAAUAUGUUAUCCUAAUUCAAAUAAUGCCUACUUCAUGGCACUGACAUAGCAACCAUAUACAUUAAGUGUGGAAGUCUGCUUAGAAAAUUCCAGGUGUUAUCAACUUCACGUGUUCCAUGGAAAUGACCAGAUGUUUCUGAUACGUAGCACCUGAAAGAAUAAAUGAUGUUAUACCAAGUUAAGUGGCUGCUUUACAUUGUCAGCCAUGAGCAGGGUGGGCAGUUCAACCCGUUGCUGUCCAUGUUAUCUUCCAGAGACUCCAUGACAAUUGGUGUACAGAUGAGCAUCUGUUAUUACUACUGAAGCCAUAACUGCUCACUGAACUUCAGAUGACUCGCAGAGGAGAUUAUCUUUUUCCUUUCAUGACUUGGAAGCCAAAGUCCCAGACCAAAGCGAAGCAUCCAUCUGAUUCUAUGGUAACACAAACAUAAAGAAGCCAGAUGAGACAGUGCACUACCCUGGGACAGCUUAUAAAAAGCUGUAAAUGGUCUCAUCAGCCCUUUGGAGGAAAAUUUGUCCCAAUGUAUUCAGUAUGUGCAGUUUGUUCACUAGAACAGGGAAUGCUUUGUUAUAAUCUGAUUCUGCCCUAUUAAAGAUCUUGAGGCCACCCAGGAGGGACAGUGUAAGCAGCAGCCAGUUUUUCAUGGAUGAAGAAAGACCUAAUGAGGGAGAAACACGCAUUACAGGUGCAAUUCCAACUCCUUUCUCAGUAAAUAUCUGGCAACCCUCCAUGUUCAGAUAUGGGACACAUUGGAAUGAAACCAUUACUUGCUACAUCCCACCUCUGUUUUAAGCAGGGGUAUUUGUGCAUGUGCGCAUGCGUAUUAAAAUAUCAUUUUAAACAAUGGCUUCUCACUGACAUCAGAGGGCAUUAAAAGAUUAAUGUCAUCCUGUAAAAUGUUCUCUAAAUUUUGAACUUCAUCUGAGUCACCUCUGAUAAUUUAGAAUAGUGGUAAGUAGGUUAGGGCAUUUAUUCAAUUACAGUUUUUAAGUUAUAAAUCAUUCACAUUUAGGCGGAAUGAUUUUUGAUAUUAUACAUUUUUGCAAAGUGAAAAUGUAGAAACAAUGCAUAGCAUGUAUUUCUCAAGUCUCUACUUAAUGUGACUUUGCUAUCUCACAUUCAAUAUGUAGCAGACAAUUCUUCACACUGAGUACUUGUCAGGUUGGUGAUGCUCAGUGCGAAACCCCAUGACACUCCUCAUUUAUCAUGUUUUGUUUUCAUCUUCUCACUCUAGAUCUUUUAUUUAUUUAUUUAUUUAUUUAGGAAAGUUAUACUAAAAAGAAAGACGUGAUAUGACAGAGUGGCCACACACUUAAAGAAAGAAGAUUUGAUCUUCUUCUUCUGACUCUGGGCAUAUAUUUUUUAUUAUAUUUAUUACUCUUUAAUUCAGAAUUUCAACUACCACAUACAUUGCAGCACUGAACACAAAAUUGGCAUGAUUAAUAAUGAUAAUAAGAAACGAAGAGAAUACAGUCAGCCUUGGUCUAUAUACUGUUAAUGUAUUGCUAACCAAGAGUGGAAUAAACUCAUCUACACAUAUUCCUACCUAAUCCUUAUUUAAAUACUGUCUUUUAAAUACUUUUCCCCCCAUCCAUAGGUAAAGAAUUUCUUUUAGUUUCAGAUAUGCUCUCAAAAGAACCAUGAAACUAGGUCUCCAGCUCUGUAUACAACCACUAUGAUAUAGCAAUGAUCCCUUUUUGAAAAGGUAGAUGGACAUGAAGGAAGUAAAACAUACAAAGGGCUACAUAUUAGUUGCACAAGUCUCUGAAUCCUAAGGACAGGUAUCCUCUCUCAACCACAAGAGCUCCGUGCUGGCACAAAGAGCUGGGAGAAUAUAGGAGGUGGCUUUUGUUCACAUUAUUUAGCAUCUUGUGUUUGCUGCUUUUAAGGAAGUCAAUAGUCCAUGUUAUCUCGACUGUUUUGGGAGCAACCAUCCACAUUUGACAGUGUUCAGGUGCUUUUCUUUUGUGACAGGACCAAGUAUGUUUCACUGCUGCUUAUAAUAGUUCAAGAAGACAAAUGUUACUAAAUGAUCUUUAGUUUUCAGGAUGGUUCCUCAAAUCUAACACAUAGCUUAUAGAACUGUAAAUUAUAUCAUUAAUGAAUGAGACUACAAACCAAAUCUUCAAAGACUUCAAUGUACAUCAGAAUUAAUUAUCAUUACUAAUUUGCAAUGCAAAAAAGGACUGUCAAGUGAACCAAAAUUAGCCAUUACUAAUUCAAGUUAUAUUUUAUAGUCCUGUACUAUUUGCCUCCUCAUAACAAAGGGAAAUGUAGAAGCAAUCGAUGAGACUAUUUGGUUUGACCUAUCCAAACAUAACUCUUUCCUAGAAAAGCAUUUAGUUUCAGAUAACUCCGUCUUCUUUCAACUUCAUGUUGAAAGAAAUGAUUGGUUCCUUCAACCUAUGACUGCAUCAUAACAUUUACUAACACGUCUUUGUGGACAGGCAUAUUUGUGAAAAUAGCCUGGAACUCUGAGAAGUACGUUGACCUAGCAUGCACUAAUUAUAUGCAUAAGAAGUAAGGGAAAAUUUGUCCUUUGAGUGCUAUUGGGGAGAGAGGAUAUUCUCAUUUCUCAUCAUAUGACUAUGAUUGAACAUACAUUAAUUCUAUAUCAGAUGCACGAUAAGAAGAUGCAUUCAUUCUAAGACCUUGAAAUUAAAAAUCGAAUUACCCAUGACUCAUCCCAGAGCAACCAAAUUAUCCUCCUUUAUGAUUCAUAAACAAAAUCCCAAUACUAAAUCAGUGUGUCCACUACAUCGUUUUACUUUACUUCUGGGAAAAAAAAAUGCUGUUCUGAUUUUGUAUGUGUGCCUCUAGUUUUUUG